CAGCCGUAAACUAUGCGCGUUAGGUGUAUCGGUGACCACGAGUCACCGAGGUGCCGAAGGGAAACCGUGAAACGUGCCGCCUGGGAAGUACGGUCGCAAGGCUGAAACUUAAAGGAAUUGGCGGGGGAGCACCACAACAGGUGGAGCCUGCGGUUUAAUUGGACUCAACGCCGGGAAGCUCACCGGAUAAGACAGCGGAAUGAUUGCCGGGCUGAAGACUCUGCAUGACUAGCUGAGAGGAGGUGCAUGGCGUAGACGUCU
rnacentral:rRNA from 1 species